CAGCCAAUCCAUGAUUGUCUCAUCAUGGAUGUUUCUCUCUCUCCCUCUUCUCUAAAAUCAAUAAAAUAUAUUUAAAAAAUAAAAAGGAGACCCUCUUAUAAAAAAUGUAAAUAGACACAAGAGGGGACAUGAUAGUUGUAGCAAUCCAUCACCUAAAAAUGACAAUAGAUUUAAUAAUACUGGUUGGAUGUCCUUUCUGUUCUUACAUUUUCAUAUGUUAUGAAUUUGGUAAGUCUGGUAUAUUUCUUUGUAAAAACAUUGAGUUGGCUUCUAUGAACUCUGGACCUUUUCCUCACAAGUACAAUUUUGUAGACUAAAUUUCCAGGCACUUUACAGUCAUUUGGUCUAUUAUUUUAAAAUAUUAUCUAAAGAGUAUUUUAGCAAUGGGUCACCUCCUGGGAAGGAGUCUCUUCUUACUCCUGCUUUAACACGUUUCCCUCCAUCGCCUCAAGUUAAAAGUCACCCAGAAUGCUCUACAGAGAGCAGACCUACUGAGUCAGUUUCCAGGGCAUAUGCCCAUGAUCUUCAUCAGCCAAGUUUGGGAACAAUCACACAAGAAUAAGUUGAAUUCUGCUCACGUUGAGUCACUAUGCUAAAGCCCCUUGCCCUGUUGUUCUCCUCUUGGUUAAUCUGAAAUUGUCUACUGAUACACACAGUCACAUUUAAAACAUCUUUGGUAAUACAGUAUAUGGUUUAUUACAGGUAGAAGAACUUGCUUUGAAUACCAGCCUAAAUAAUUGAUUUUGCUGAGAAUGAAUGUGUGCGUGCAUAGUUACCUUGUCUAAGGGAAACUGUAUUUUUCUCUUGGACUAUCCUAAAGUUGGGGAUACAUUAAUUUAAAAAAAAAAAUCAAUGCCCAGUAGAAUAAUUUAGAAACCCACCCAGGGAGAGAGUAGGCUUUUGAACAACUUAUAUUUUCUUUGAACUUGGGGAAAAUGUUCUCAAAACAUCCAUCUAACCAACUGUUCAGAACCAUAAUAACUGUGGCUUAUGGCUUCUACUAAUUCUACAGCUUUCUAUACCUGAACUUCGCUCUUUCCCCCUGUAUGUUUUUGAAAACUCAGGAAGAGCUAAGCUGUUUUUAUAUUUCAUUAAGAAAUGUCUUGAUGAUUUAUAACUCCAAAAUUCCAAAUGUUGUCAUAGCAAACCCCAGAUUGGAUGUACCUGUAUUUUAUGAUGACUUAGAAACUUCUUCUACAAGUCAGCAAAAGUUGUAGAAUGUUUUGAGUUUAUUUUUGAUAUGCGAUAACAAGAGUUCAUGAGUUCUGCGCGCCGGCCUGGACGCUGACCAUGGAGAAGUAGAGGCCCUUCUGCGCCAGCAGCUGCUGGUGGGUGCCGUGCUCCCUGAUCUUGCCGUUCUGGAACACCACGAUCAGGUCCGCGUUCUGGAUGGUGGACAGGCGGUGCGCGAUCACAAUGCAGGUGCGGCCUUCUCUGGCCUUGUCCAGGGCUUCUUGGACAAUCUAUACACAAAUCAGAUCAGAAGAAGCCUUACCUUAAUUAUAUGAAUAGGUUUUAGCAUUAAAUUUAAAAAUGUUACCAUCCAAGCAAGAAAAUGUCAUUCCUUAUCUCUUUGAAUAUUUGCCUCUAUGCCUGUGUAUUAAUAUAAUUUGACGUCACAUACAGUUAUGUUCUUUUUAAUUAUAAUAAGAAUGGAUUGUCACUACAAUCUUCACAAGUAGUAAAAAUUUCUAACUAGUCACAAAAUAUUUGACGGAACUAGGUCCCUUUUAUUGAGUAUUUUCCAUGAGGAUUAAUAUGCUAAAAUGAUUUAUGCAGCCUUUUCUUUUGAAUACUUUACUUUUAGUGCAUUUCUAAACGUAAUGCAUGAUCAUUUUAGAAAAACUGGAAAAUACUGAAAGGAAUAAGAAAAUGUUCUACCUCAAAAUAACCACUGUCUAAAUUUCUAUUUACUUUUUUUCUGUGCUUACGUUUGUUUUUUUCAUGGCUAAUAGCACAAAACCCUUCUGUUUUACAGAUUAAAUAGGAUGUGAGGUGGAAGACCGUACUUUUUCACUUUCAGUGUCCAGAGCGGAAGUAGCUUCAUCCAACAGCAGGAAUCGAGGUUGUCUGAUGAGGGCUCGGGCGAUCGCAAUCCUCUGUUUCUGACCUCCUGAGAGUUGAGUCCCCUUAUCUCCCACUUUUGUGUCGUAUUUCUGCAAGUCAGUCAACAAAAGUAAUGAAGGUCCUAACCCAGCAAAAUUACUGAUGUUAUAAUGAAUAAACUUUUACUUAACAUAUGACAGUACUACUUACAAGGAAAAAAAAUUUGGAAUCAAUAAAAAAGUUUCUGUAUCAGC